rnacentral:lncRNA from 1 species
GCCAAUGAGGGUGGCUAGCAUAGGGGGCAUGGGGCCUUUCAUCAACAUGCUUGGGUUGGGCUCCAACUCAAGCCCAAACCCGUCACCAAGAGCUUAGGUCUGGGCUCUAACUUAAGCCCAAGGCACCAUCACUAUAAAAGUUUGGGCCUGGGCUCCAACUUAAGCCCAAAUCAAGGCAAACCCAAGGCAUCCUCUUAACAUCAACCUGGGCUGGGUGUUUUAACUUAAGCCCAAAUCAAGGCAAGCCCAAGGCACCAUUUUAACAUCAACUUGGGCUGGGUGUUUUAACUUAAGCCCAAAUCAAGGCAAGCCCAAAUCAAGGCAAACCCAAGGCAUCCUCUUAACAUCAACCUGGGCUGGGUGUUUUAACUUAAGCCCAAAUCAAGGCAAGCCCAAGGCACCAUUUUAACAUCAACUUGGGCUGGGUGUUUUAACUUAAGCCCAAAUCAAGGCAAGCCCAAGGCAUCAUCUCCUUCAACUUGCCCCUCCACCUGGAAACGCUGCAUGCUUCGCGCCACCGGAGAGAAGAUGCAUGGAGAGGAGGAGGAAAAGGAAGAGGAAGGGAAAGAGGAAGAGAAAGAGAGAGAAAAUGUGGCAACAUGCAUGGCUAUCAUAUAAUUCGCAUGGGAACCAAAACAUGGACCAAGCAAUUCAUGAAAUGAGGAGCAAAUUUAACGCGUUAAAUAAUCCGGAAACAUCUAAAUAUCAAGAAGGAGUGAGAUAUGGCUGAAAAUAGAACAAAAUGAAUAAUAAAAAAAAUGGAGAACCUAGGGUACAAAAGUAAUCUAACCUGAGCGGUCUCCCUUCUCCUUCUCUUGCGUUUCCUCUCUUCUUUUCUCCAGGCUUUUUUUUUUCUUCAAAGAAUCCUCCCCACUGCUACCCGUUUUCUUUUUUUCCUUCUUCUCUUUUUUCCUAUCUUCACCCGCAAGCCAUCAGCUACUCCACUAUUCCCUGCUCAGCAACCUCAGAAGCUCCAACCACCACCAUGGAGAGGGCCACCUGCCUCGUCACGUGCUCCAUGCAGCUGCUCCUCCAAGAAGCCCGGUCCCCCCUUCAAAUGUCAUCCUCCAGGCGCUUCCCAAGUGGCAGGAAGGCUAAAUAUAAAUGCAUAUAUAUAUAUA